rnacentral:rRNA from 1 species
AUUGAACGCUGGCGGCAUGCUUUACACAUGCAAGUCGAACGGCAGCGCGGGCUUCGGCCUGGCGGCGAGUGGCGAACGGGUGAGUAAUGCAUCGGAACGUGCCCAGUAGUGGGGGAUAGCCCGGCGAAAGCCGGAUUAAUGCCGCAUACGACCUGAGGGUGAAAGCGGGGGACCGAAAGGCCUCGCGCUAUUGGAGCGGCCGAUGUCGGAUUAGCUAGUUGGUGGGGUAAAGGCUUACCAAGGCGACGAUCCGUAGCUGGUCUGAGAGGACGACCAGCCACACUGGGACUGGGACACGGCCCAGACUCCUACGGGAGGCAGCAGUGGGGAAUUUUGGACAAUGGGGGCAACCCUGAUCCAGCCAUGCCGCGUGCGAGAAGAAGGCCUUCGGGUUGUAAACCGCUUUUGUUCGGGAAGAAAUCCUCUGGGCUAAUACCCCGGGGGGAUGACGGUACCGGAAGAAUAAGCACCGGCUAACUACGUG